AUUGAACGCUGGCGGCACGCCUAACACAUGCAAGUCGUACGAGUGGCGGACGGGUGAGUAAUGUCUGGGAAACUGCCUGAUGGAGGGGGAUAACUACUUGAAACGGUAGCUAAUACCGCAUACCAUCGGAUGUGCCCAGAUGGGAUGAGCUAGUAGGUGGGGUAAAGGCUCACCAAGGCGACGAUCCCUAGCUGGUCUGAGAGGAUGACCAGCCACACUGGAACUGAGGCACGGUCCAGACUCCUACGGGAGGCAGCGGUGGGGAAUAUUGCACAAUGGGGGCAAGCCUGAUGCAGCCAUGCCGCGGGUAUGAAGAAGGCCUUCGGGUUGUAAAGUACUUUCAGAGAGGAGGCGUUACCCGCAGAAGAAGCACCGGCUAACUCCGUGCCAGCAGCCGCGGUAAUAC
rnacentral:rRNA from 1 species